CGGUCCUGGCGCCCGAGGUCGGCUCACUGUCACGCCCGUUCUGGAGCAGGGUCUCUCGCCAAAUGCCGCGAUCAGGACGUGCGAGGCGAGGCGCCGAGGCGUUUUUCCCCAGAGGGGGGUGUGUGCGCCCGCGACACAAAGGUCUUUUCUAGACCUCACCGGUCCCUCUCGCUCGCUCUCUGUCCGGCUGCCGGAGGGGAGCAACGGCUCUGGGUCGGCCCAGGCGACAAUGCCAGGUGUCCGGGGCGGCCGCCCGGAGUGGCCCCCAGGCCUUGCCAGGGCGCGAGGGGGCGCUGGGCCCUCACCCGGCUCGGCUGACUCCCGCGGUCGCGCCCAGGACCGGGACCCUCUGGGCUCCUUUUGUGAUCGGAGGGAAGGGCCUCCCUCGCGUCCCUGAAAAUGGUCAGCCCGGGUUCUCAGGACUGCGUGCCCUGAACAAUAAAGUGGGUUCUCUAGGGUCGUCCUCUGGGCCCCACCCUGUGGAGCUUUGAGCGGUUCAGCUUCUGCUCCGGGCAGGUCUUCGGGGGUUCCCGAAAGCAUCAGUGUGACCGGCUGCGUCGGGAUCACCAGGGGCCCACCCAUGGCCUGAAUCGGAAUCUCUGGGAGGGGCGCAGGAAUCUAUAUUUUUGAUUUUGAUGCCCUGGAUCAGAGGGGAAAAGAUCUCUGUGGGAGGUGAGCAGUCUGCUACCUACAGACACCCAUCCUCAUUUCCUGGCAGACUGUAAGCUCCUUAAAGAUGAGGACCCUGUCUUAGCCAGCCUGUCGCCUCACACUCUCCUGAAGAACAAAUAAUAAUAACCACCUAGUAUGAUCUGCAGGGCUCGAGAAGAUGCAUUCAGCCGAAACUAUGCAGAAUUCCAAAAGUGGAACAAUUUUUUUCUUGUGCAAAACACCCAAGAUGGCUUAAGAUAACAGGUUAUUUUGUUUUCUUACUCAAAAAAGUGCUUUCUUCAAAGCAUCAUAUCUCUUAAGUAAUUUCCAAAGUGAUUUCCAUUACCACGUCUCCACUACAAGUUUUCAGCAAACUAAAGUAAUAAAGCUGAACGACUGGAGAUUUUUUUACCAGGUCUGGCAGUGAAGAAAUCACCACUGGUAGUGCAGGUAGGAUCCUCUGACCUUUGGCAAUUUGAACCUCAGUAUCUGUAAAUGUAAAAGGGGAAUAUUCCUAUUUUGUGGAGUUAGUGUAAAGUUUAGCAAUAAUGUUCAUAAAUGGCCUAAUUCAGUAUCUGGUGCAUAUUAGCAGCUAAAAAUGGUAGCUGCUGCUUCUACCAUAAACAGUGAUAACAAUACUACUAAUAAUAAUUGGAAAUCUGAAGUCACUCCCAUGAGAGAACUGAAUUUGACCAGAAACUUAUUGUUAUGCAGUCUUCAUAGGUUGAAAAUAACUUAUUCAGCAGCCUUCAUUCCUGACUCUCUCCCUCAAUCCUUCUAUAAAAUCCAAAAGGUAAAUAGCAACUCUCUUUUUAUUAUAAUUUGUUCAACAAAUACCUGUGUGCUUUUGCUAGGCAAUAAUUUGAGGGUUCACAAAGAUGAGUAAGAUCUUUUGGUCCUGACCUUAAAGAUUAUAAUCUAAUUUGGCUGCACUGCUGACUUCUUCCCUGUCACCCUUUAGAUUCCAUGGAAAGCAAACUCUUGUGAAAUAUUCCUUCUUCUGCAUCUGCAAUUGCAGUCAUCAGUGAGGCAACCUAGACGGCGUAGUUUGUAUGUACAUGGAGUCCAGUUCCUAAUCACCCCACCCACACCCAAAAGUGAACCAAAUUUCAGAACUUUGGGGCUUUUCUAGGAUGGUCCUCACCGUAGCAUGGUACACACAUUAAUCUGCAGGAAGACCAAGUCAUAUUUACACUGGAAGAUGAAAUAUAACUUCCUCUUCAGGUAGUAGGACAGGUCUUUUGCCUUACAAUAGAGAAGGGAGGAGUUUGUGUUCAGGAGUUUCAUUGCCAGGCAACUCAACAUCUUGAAGUUUCUCGGUGAAUUUUGGGAAGACUGUGGUUUGCUUUGGACAACAUGAAACCCAUAUCUUCUUCUUCUAGUAUCUGAGCAAGGUGACCCUUCCAGUGGCAAAGAAACCAAACAGCUGUUUAGAUGAAAGGUGUCUGCCUCAGUUCUCUUGACAAUGCUGGGACACUAAUUGUUGACUGAAUAGUUCUUAAUUCGACUGGGAAAGGAAAAAAAGGUAGAAAUCUCAUAUUCAUAUAAGACACUGACAACUGGGAACCAAGUCCAUUUAAUGGUCCAUGUUAAUUCCAUGCAUCUGAUAAUUGUUCGAUUCCUCACAUCACUUGCCAUACACAGACACAGUUCUUGACAAAGUCGAAAAGAAAGAGAAAGAGAAAAUACGAUUCCUGAAUCUUUAUCCCUCCCCCACACUAUCUUGACUAGGAUGCCCGGUGCCUAGGAGGUGCCCAGAUUCUUUCUAAGAGAUGCCUUUUAAAAAAAAAUUUAUUGCUUCCUUUAGAUCAUGGGAAGAAUUACAGCUUAAUCACAAGAGCCGGCGUUGCCUUGGUGUAAUAGGCAGCUUUCUGUACAGUCACAAAUAAUAGGCCGCGUCUAUUUGCCUGGUUGAGUGUGCUGGAAGUGUGCGUUGUCUCAAAAACCCAGAGGAGAUCUUAAUUAAAGCUUAAUUAUGUACCAUAAAUAUGUUUUAUUUUGGAA